rnacentral:rRNA from 1 species
AUUGAACGCUGGCGGUAGGCCUAACACAUGCAAGUCGAACGGCAGCACGGUAAGAGCUGGCUCUUACGUGUGGCGAGUGGGGGACGGGUGAGGAAUACAGGGGAAUGUACGUUUUCGGGGGGGAUAACGUAGGGAAACUUACGCUAAUAGCGCAUACGACCUACGGGUGAAAGCAGGGGAUCUGCGGACCUUGCGAGAGGGUGUGAGCCGAUGUCGGAUUAGCUAGUAGGCGGGGUAAAGGCCCACCAAGGCGACGAUCCGUAGCUGGUCUGAGAGGAUGAUCAGCCACACUGGAACUGAGACACGGUCCAGACUCCUACGGGAGGCAGCAGUGGGGAAUAUUGGACAAUGGGCGCAAGCCUGAUGCAGCCAUGCCGCGUGGAUGAAGAAGGCCUUCGGGUUGUAAAGCCCUUUUGUCGGGGAAGAAAAGCAGCAGGUUAAUACCCCGCUGUACUGACGGUACCCACAGAAUAAGCACCGGCUAACUCCGUG